CUCCAGGAACUCGGCCCGCGACCUGCUCUCCUGGACCAAGCAGGGCAGCGGCCUCCGUGCCAUCCUCGUCAUCUCGAGCCUGACUCGAAGGAGACCAUACGCAAGGCACCUCCUCUUCGGUUGUGAGAGUGUCCAGGGGUCGUGGGUGCGGCUAAUG